rnacentral:rRNA from 1 species
UACAAGCCAAAUUAAGGUGAAACCGCGAAAGGCUCAUUAAAUCAGUUAUGGUUCCUUAGAUCGUACCCACAUUUACUUGGAUAACUGUGGUAAUUCUAGAGCUAAUACAUGCAAACAGAGCCCCGACCGGAGACGGAAGGGGCGCUUUUAUUAGUUCAAAACCGAUCGGCGGCACUCGUGUCGUCGUAACUCAUGGUGACUCUGAAUAACUUUUUGCUGAUCGCACGGUCCAGCACCGGCGACGCAUCUUUCAAAUGUCUGCCUUAUCAACUUUCGAUGGUAGGUUCUGCGCCUACCAUGGUUGUAACGGGUAACGGGGAAUCAGGGUUCGAUUCCGGAGAGGGAGCCUGAGAAACGGCUACCACAUCCAAGGAAGGCAGCAGGCGCGCAAAUUACCCACUCCCGGCACGGGGAGGUAGUGACGAAAAAUAACGAUACGGGACUCAUCCGAGGCCCCGUAAUCGGAAUGAGUACACUCUAAACCCUUUAACGAGGAUCAAUUGGAGGGCAAGUCUGGUGCCAGCAGCCGCGGUAAUUCCAGCUCCAAUAGCGUAUAUUAAAGUUGUUGCGGUUAAAAAGCUCGUAGUCGAAUUUGUGUUUCGCGCCGCCGGUUCAUCGCUCGCGGUGUUCAACUGGCGUGUCGCGGAACGUCCUGCCGGUGGGACCGGGCGUUCGCGUCCGGCCCCAACUUUAAAUCCUGCCGCGGUGCUCUUCGCUGAGUGUCGAGGUAGGCCGGCACGUUUACUUUGAACAAAUUAGAGUGCUCAAAGCAGGCUAAAAUUUCGCCUGAAUAUUCUGUGCAUGGAAUAAUGGAAUAGGACCUCGGUUCUAUUUUGUUGGUUUUCGGAACCCCGAGGUAAUGAUUAAUAGGAACGGAUGGGGGCAUUCGUAUUGCGACGUUAGAGGUGAAAUUCUUGGAUCGUCGCAAGACGGACAGAAGCGAAAGCAUUUGCCAAAAACGUUUUCAUUGAUCAAGAACGAAAGUUAGAGGUUCGAAGGCGAUCAGAUACCGCCCUAGUUCUAACCAUAAACGAUGCCAGCUAGCGAUCCGCCGACGUUCCUCCGAUGACUCGGCGGGCAGCUUCCGGGAAACCAAAGCUUUUGGGUUCCGGGGGA